UUGAAUUGAAGAGUUUGAUCAUGGCUCAGAUUGAACGCUGGCGGCAGGCUUAACACAUGCAAGUCGAACGGUAGCAGGAGAAAGCUUGCUUUCUUGCUGACGAGUGGCGGACGGGUGAGUAAUGCUUGGGAAUCUGGCUUAUGGAGGGGGAUAACGACGGGAAACUGUCGCUAAUACCGCGUAUUAUCGGAAGAUGAAAGUGCGGGACUGAGAGGCCGCAUGCCAUAGGAUGAGCCCAAGUGGGAUUAGGUAGUUGGUGGGGUAAAGGCCUACCAAGCCUGCGAUCUCUAGCUGGUCUGAGAGGAUGACCAGCCACACUGGAACUGAGACACGGUCCAGACUCCUACGGGAGGCAGCAGUGGGGAAUAUUGCGCAAUGGGGGGAACCCUGACGCAGCCAUGCCGCGUGAAUGAAGAAGGCCUUCGGGUUGUAAAGUUCUUUCGGUAUUGAGGAAGGUUGAUGUGUUAAUAGCACAUCAAAUUGACGUUAAAUACAGAAGAAGCACCGGCUAACUCCGUGCCAGCAGCCGCGGUAAUACGGAGGGUGCGAGCGUUAAUCGGAAUAACUGGGCGUAAAGGGCACGCAGGCGGUUAUUUAAGUGAGGUGUGAAAGCCC
rnacentral:rRNA from 1 species